rnacentral:misc_RNA from 1 species
CUCCUUCAAGUUGGAACACCCCCUCGGUUCUCUCUCAAUCCCUCUCUAAUUAUUUAUAUAAGCACAUCUUUCUCUUGAUAAUUGUUGAUUAAUAUCUCUGUUGAUUUUGGGUCCUUUCUGCCUUUGAAUGUGGCUUUUAUGAUCUGGGUUUUUGGUGGUUUUUAUGAAAAAAUAACAUUUAUAGAUUUUUUAUUGUCCAAAUUUCAAUCAUAUUAUCUGCUAUUUAAAGAAGAUGGCGAUAGCCUCGAGGUUUUCGGGGUAAGAUGGGAUGGUCGCGUUUCACAUCUGGGUUAAUCUUGUAAAAUUGUUAUCUUUUUAGCAUGAAAUCGGAGGUUUCAUCUGCUAUUAAUCUGUCAGGGAAAAGUCAUGAAUUGCUAACUGGAGUAACUGGAAUUUGGGGUGUUGAGGAACGCUGACAUCAUUGAAUUUUACCCAGACGGGGAUCAGAACUUCAGAAAUAUGUGGAGUGUCUGUCAAUCUGAGAGAGGGACUUAUAUGGAAAAUAUUGCAAUUUGCAAUUUGCCCGGUUCAUUUUGAAAUGGGAAUCAUUAGUGAUUAGCCUGACAUAUGAGAGAGAUGUGAGGUGAUAUCACUACCUUUUAUACAAAAUAUCAAAUAUCUAAUUUGUGUAUUGAAUUAUAGGGUUGAUAUUCAUCUAUCUAGAAUCUAGUAUGUAUGUUUCAACUCAUUUUAUUCCAUCGAUGAAGCAAAGCCCUUUCACUCACACCCAAUGUCUAGAUGGCUUUUAUGGAGAAAUGCAGAAUAAUUUUAUAAAUAUAAGAAGCCUAUCCAAUAACUUUUACAAUAUUUCUUUAAUUGUACAAGAGUUCUUUUUUUUUUUUUUCCAUCAUGUUUUCUUUGUUUUUCACUCUUUAAUGUUAUAAUAUCAAUAUAUUUUUGUUCUUGAUAUUCAUAAUGAGUUUUAGAAAA